AUUGAACGCUAGCGGGAUGCUUUACACAUGCAAGUCGAACGAGUGGCGGACGGGUGAGUAAUAUAUCGGAACGUGCCCAGUCGCGGGGGAUAACUACUCGACAGAGUGGCUAAUACCGCAUACUAUUUGAGCGGCCGAUAUCGGAUUGGCUCGUUGGGGGGGGAAAGGCUCACCAAGGCAACGAUCCGUAGCUGGUUUGAGAGGACGACCAGCCAAACGGGGACUGAGCAACGGCCCAGACUCCUACGGGAGGCAUCAGUGGGGAAUUGUGGACAAUGGGGGAAACCCUGAUCCAGCCAUCCCGCGUGUAUGAGAAGGCCUUCGGGUUGGAAAGUACUUUUGGCAGAGAAGCGGUAUCUGCAGAAUAAGCACCGGCUAACUACGUGCCAGCAGCCGCGGUAAUUC
rnacentral:rRNA from 1 species